rnacentral:lncRNA from 1 species
AUUUUCAAGACCACACCAAAGUAGUAAGGAGACCAAAAGACCUCCAAAAGUAUAGUUACCAAAGAGGAGAAAGACCACUUUUCAAAAAUACCCCAAAGAGGACAAGACUACCAAAAGGGUUGUCUUACCAAUUUGGUGCAAGUAGGUGAAGGACUUUAUGAAUCUUGAAAGUGGAGUCUAAGACCUUGUUUGUCUCUACUUUGGCCGAAAUUCUUGUCUUCCAAAUACAAAAUUGAACAACUAAUUUCUUGAAACAAAAAAUUUUCAACUUCAACAACAUUUCAACAACCAAUAGUAAUGUGCCACGUCAUCAAGAGCUCAAGAACGUUGGAAUUCCUAGUUUCACUUUUUUGAUUCUAUUGGUUUCCAUUUUGUUGGUUCUCAUACUAAUUAGCGAACUAUUAAAUACCUACUAGAUUGUAGAUUAGUUUUUUAGUACGUUUUUCUUUCGUGUUAAGCAUUGUAUUGUGUUCUUUUCUCGUUUUUAAGUCGUAGAUUUUCUCUGGUACAAGUUCAAACAUCAUUUCUUGAGUUGUUUCAAACAAGAAUCUACUCCAUCUUCGAGCCACAAUUGGGACCAAGUAACCUCAAUGGAGUAUAAGCGAGUUAUCAACACUUGUGAGGCCAAUAGAGUGAAAACUUCAAAGUGUGAGUGUGAGGGAGUUUGUGGACUAUUUUGAGACGUCUUGUGGACUGAUUUUUGCUAACCUUUAAUGUCUUUGCUGUUUUUAUGUCGUUUGUUUAGUAGUUUUUGAUAGGUACAAAGGCGGAUGAAAGUGAGAUGCCUAGUUGGGCUAGUUCUUUCAUUGAAAGGUUUACCAAUGCUAUCGAUAGACGAUUGGGAUCUUUUGAAAAAAGAAUGAACGGCAUGAUGGAAAGAAUGGAAUGGAUGGAAAGCUCUCUUUGCAAGAAGUUGGAUAACUUGAUAGAGCAUUCACGCUUUCCUAAUCGAAUUCCCGUGAGUGGCCAUGCUCCAAAUGCUACAAGGUAAUCAAACUAACCCUUGCACUCUAGUGAAGGAGGAUAAUAGCCAACUAAGUGUGAGUGAUAGUUUGUCUUUAGGUAAGCCGAAUGUGCCUUCAUUUUGUAGAGAAAAUGUACAACUUGAAAUUGUGGAUACACUAGUUGAUCCACUUAGUGUUGAAGCCGUUGUGCCAAGUGAUAGUACAUUGUCUUACGGAAGUCAUGAAGACCAACUUGUGUGUGAAAAUAGUGAUGUUGAAGCCAAGUCCAAGGCCACCUCUUUGUAAGGGCUCAUUAGGGGCCUUUUGGUCAUUUUGUAAUAAGAGUUGCCCUAGCUUAUAAAUAGAACCUUUAGGUCAUUUUGUCCAUUAGACUUUGAUGAUAUAUUUUGUAAGAAGUGUGUUCCCAACCCGUGCCCAUGUGUGCCCAUGGACACUCCACCCAUUUGACCCCAGUGAUCAUUUGAAAUACGGUGAUGAUGUCUUUUGGAAUGACUUAAAUGUGCAUGAAAUGUAUGGCCUUCCUAUCUCGGCUGUCAAGUCUAUUUGCUGUUCCAAGAAGAGUAAGUUUUCCACUUGAUAAGCAACUCUUGUUCCUUGUUUCUUGUCACACUUAUGUGGAUAGACUAGUUGAUUCUUUCUUGGAGGGUAUUCGGCUAAGAGAGAUGUCUGGUUGUAUGUGAAGUUUGAGCCACCUUGGCAAGAUGCUAUGAUUGGUGUUGUUGUCAUCUUGUUAAGCUUAUUGUCGUUUGGCUGCUCGCUGUUUGGUGUCAAUAACACCUUGAUAUCAUCUCUUGUUCUUGUAAUUCGAAUCCGAGUGUGGUCAUCAAAGGGUCCCCGGUUUUGUUGAACUAGUGGAAUGUUUUGGUGUGUGAAUUGUUGUGUUCUUGGGGUGUUUGGUAUCAGGUAAGGUUUUCGUACACUCCACCCUCCCUAGACCUCACUUGUGGGAUUUCACUGGGUAUGUUGUUAUUGUCAACUUCCAGUAACCAAUCAUCUUACAACACAAAGCUAGCAAAAGUUACAUUUGUAUUUCAAAUGUAAUUAUAUUUCCCUAUAUUGCAUUUUAUGUUGUGUCAAACAUACAUCUUAUGCCACUAACCACAUGAAGCCUUUCCACUUCAUACGGUGCUCAACUCUUGAAUAUUUUCAUGGCCACCCAGAUUGCUACAUUUUUACUCUGCAAGGGAUUUUAUAAAAAGUUUUAACAAAGAAUUUCUCAUUACACAGUCAUACCAUGGUAAGUGUCAGGGCUUGUACGCACGGUUGUGAAGCUAGCAAAUAGCUGUAACAGUUGGCACAUAUCCUCCACCUUCCAAUCAUUGAAGUUGCUACUGAGUUCCACGUCCAUCUCGGUGUCAGUCUGCCAUAAGCUAUAUCAUUUUGUAAUAAGUGUUGCCCGAGCUUAUAAAUAAAACCUUUAGGUCAUUUUGUCCAUUAGACUUUGAUGAUAUAUUUUGUAAACUCUUUGAGAGUGUCUUGCAAGGUGGAAUCCUUGUGACAAGUGUGGACACCACUUGCGUUGAUAACAACCUUAGAAACGGUGGUUGCUUGGGAAUCCAAUUCCCUUGAGGUCCGUAAGAGUGUAGGUGUUUAAUAUUACUUGUUGUUUCUGUUUUGGUGUUUAAUAUACACCUUAGUGCUUAAACUUCUAGUAUUUCAUGUCUCACUAUCUAUCCUUUUAGUUAUUGUAAUCUUGUUUCCGUUUUGUUCUUAUAUUGUUGAAGCCGUGUGUUGUUGUUCUCUUCUUGUUGUUGUCAUCUUGUUAACCUUAUUGCCAUUUGGUUGCUCGCUGUUUGGUGUCAAUAACACCUUGAUAUCAUCUCUUUCUUGUUCUUGUAAUUCGAAUCCGAGUGUGGUCAUCAAAGGGUCCUCGGUUCUCUUGAACUAGUGGACUGUUUUGCUGUGUGAAUUGUUGUGUUCUUGGGGUGUUUGGUAUCAAUUGGUAUCAGAGCCAUCUAGGUUUUGUUCUUACAAUACCAAUCUUGGGCUCCCUUAAGUCGAAAAAAUAAAAAAAAAUAAAAAAAGAGAAAAAAGUUGUUCUUGGCCGAGAGUUUGUAAUCGUGUUGUUUUUUAUGUUUGGCCGAGUUGGUGUCUAGAUUUAGGAGUGUUUUUACUUGUCUUUGUUGUUUCUUGUGUUGGUUCUCUUCAUCUCUAACACUCUUGAGUCUUGAUCCAAGUUCUUGAGCUAGGGUUCAAGAAGUUGUUGAAGAUUGUGGGACGAUUUUGUUGUUGGUGGUGUUGGUGUUCAUCUUGUGUUCUUGAAGUGUGUUGAAGAAGUUGUUGUUGAUCUUGAAAACCAUAUAAAGAAGAGAAGACGUUUGUUUGUCUUGAAACAAUUUUCAAGACCACACCAAAGUAGUAAGGAGACCAAAAGACCUCCAAAAGUAUAGUUACCAAAGAGGAGAAAGACCACUUUUCAAAAAUACCCCAAAGAGGACAAGACUACCAAAAGGGUUGUCUUACCAAUUUGGUGCAAGUAGGUGAAGGACUUUAUGAAUCUUGAAAGUGGAGUCUAAGACCUUGUUUGUCUCUACUUUGGCCGAAAUUCUUGUCUUCCAAAUACAAAAUUGAACAACUAAUUUCUUGAAACAAAAAAUUUUCAACUUCAACAACAUUUCAACAACCAAUAGUAAUGUGCCACGUCAUCAAGAGCUCAAGAACGUUGGAAUUCCUAGUUUCACUUUUUUUAUUCUAUUGGUUUCCAUUUUGUUGGUUCUCAUACUAAUUAGCGAACUAUUAAAUACCUACUAGAUU